rnacentral:RNase_P_RNA from 1 species
CAGACAGUCGCGUGGUUUGGCCGAAAGGCCUCUUCAUGAGGAAAGUCCGGGCUCCAUAGGGCAAGGAUAACGGGUAACGCCCGCCGAAGGCGACUUCAGGAAAAGUGCAACAGAGAUAUACCGCUGGUAAAUGGCUGGCUGAGGCCGGUGUCUGCCAGUAAGGGUGGAAAGGUGCGGUAAGAGCGCACCCGACGGCUGGGAACUGUCCGUCGCUGUAAACUCUAUCCGGAGCAACACCGGUAUGGGAGCAUAGAGGCUGGCCCGGCUGCUCCCGGGGUGGCUUGAGCGUACCGGCAACGAUACGCCUAGAUAGAUGACUGUCAAAUACAGAACCCGGCUUACAGUUUUGCUCG